rnacentral:rRNA from 1 species
UGGGGAAUUUUGGACAAUGGGGGCAACCCUGAUCCAGCAAUGCCGCGUGUGUGAAGAAGGCCUUCGGGUUGUAAAGCACUUUUGUCCGGAAAGAAAACGCCGUGGUUAAUACCCGUGGCGGAUGACGGUACCGGAAGAAUAAGCACCGGCUAACUACGUGCCAGCAGCCGCGGUAAUACGUAGGGUGCAAGCGUUAAUCGGAAUUACUGGGCGUAAAGCGUGCGCAGGCGGUCCGCUAAGACAGAUGUGAAAUCCCCGGGCUUAACCUGGGAACUGCAUUUGUGACUGGCGGGCUAGAGUAUGGCAGAGGGGGGUAGAAUUCCACGUGUAGCAGUGAAAUGCGUAGAGAUGUGGAGGAAUACCGAUGGCGAAGGCAGCCCCCUGGGCCAAUACUGACGCUCAUGCACGAAAGCGUGGGGGAGCAAACAGGAUUCAGAUACCCUGGUAGUCCACGCCCUAAACGAUGU